UCCGAGUUGACCCCGGCAGUCUCCUACGAGUCCCCGGCAUUACCCGCUGGCAACAUAGGACAAGGGUUGCGCUCGUUGCGGGACUUAACCCAACAUCUCACGACACGAGCUGACGGCAGCCAUGCACCACCAGUGCGGGACCCCGAAGGACACCGUAUCUCUACGGCUUUUCUCUACAUGUCAAGCCCAGGUAAGGUUCUUCGCGUCGCAUCGAAUUAAGCCACAUGCUCCGCCGCUUGUGCGGGCCCCCGUCAAUUCCUUUGAGUUUUAGCCUUGCGACCGUACUCCCCAGGCGGGAAGCUUAAUGCGUUAGCUGCGCCACCGACAAGUAAACUUGCCAACGGCUAGCUUCCAUCGUUUACGGCGUGGACUAC
rnacentral:misc_RNA from 1 species